rnacentral:lncRNA from 1 species
UUCUGGUCAGGGCUGUGGAGUAUGGAAAUAAAAAAAACUCCCCCUGAAGGAGGCCCUGCUGAAGCACGCUCAAUUCGUUGAUGUGCAGCAGAGGACAGAGUGUGGGGUGGAAGAUGCCCUAUACUGUACUUCGUAGACAGGCAACGGUUUCACAUUUUCCAAGAUUUCAACAUAUUUAAUACUAAGUUUAAUUUGGACCAUGGUCACAAAACAAAUACUUAAUCCGUUCUUUACACAUGGUGCUCUUUUUAGAUUUCAGGAACUACUUCCUUUCAAUGGGCCAGAGGAACAGGACAAGGUGAGUGAGGAGUUCUUGGAAUAUCAACUCAUGGAUACUCCCAUGCCACAAGAUCCCACCACCUUUAACGUUGAGGAGUUUUGGGGGAGUAUGUCCUCAAUCAAGUGCAAAGUGACUGGUUUGAGCCAGUUUGGGAGGCUUUCUAAAAUAGCUGCAUUGGUGUUAGUGCUUCCUCAUUCAAAUGCCGACGCCGAGAGGGUUUUCUCCAUGGUGGGAUUAAACAAGACCAAAACCAUGAACAGCUUAGCACUUGAUGGAACCCUGUCAUCCAUCAUGACAGUAAAAAUGGCAGGCCUGGAACCACAGGGCUUCAAAUAGGAGCCACCAACCCCUGUGCUGAAGGCCUCAAAACCAGCUACCAACAUUUACAAUAAACAACACUGACCAUUAUCUCUCUCUCUCUCACACACACACACACACACACACACACACACACAACAAAUAAUGCUAGUAAUUAAAUUAAAUUAAUUUAAAACCAACGACUACCAACAUUUACUAAUAAACAACAACUGACCAUUAUCUCUCUCUCUCUCACACACACACACACACACACACACACACACACACAAAUAAAUGCUGAAUUAAAUAAAUAUUAUUUUAUUUGUAAGAAUAUGUGUCAUUUAUGAGAUCAGACACCCGUCCCCAUCAAACCCCUGCCGCCGUCGCGGCCGCCGCCAAAAUCUCACUCUGAACUCAGUUCAAAACUUGAGAGCCCUGUUAUUCAUCAUCAGUAGAUUGAAACAGAAGUUGGCAUAUAUGUGAGCUAUUUGUUGAUUGCUAACUGCGUUUUUAUUUUGAAACAUGCCAUGCUCAUGUUUGAUUAAUUAAAUCAUAGCCGUUUAAAGUAUAAUUGAUCACAUUAAGCAAUAAAGUUACUGUUUUUCCUUCUCCGGAUUUGAAAUUGAGACUUAGAAGCAGCACUUCUGAUGGAACACAGUGACUGAACCUAAAACCUUCAGCUGACACACAGAUUAUAUCCACACAUUUGUAAACUACUGGAGUCGCACUUUAUGAAGUUACAGAAAGUUGUCCGGUCCAGUUCCUUUCACACAGCACUGUUGUGUUACUUGUUAAGCUGCACAUUACAGAGCCUGGCCCGUGUCCCACAGCUUAUCAGAAUUACCGUCCCGAGCCCGUCUUUUUCCCCCUUCUCCCAAAACAGCUUAUACUACUGUUUCAGCCAUUAAAAUAGCUCAGUUUGUAUGUAAUCGCAAAGUGAUUAUAUUUCAUUUAAUUAUUGUUUUUUUAUUAUUAUUAAAUUAACUUAGAAAAGCAUUUGAAGCCGUUUUGUUAGUUAAAUAUAAGUUUUUGUUUUUUAAAGUAACGACCAAGUGGCCAGCGGCAGAUAGUGAGCCUUUGUUUGAUCAAUUAAGCCUUCUCAAAUCAUCACGACUUGCCUAAAAUAAAAUCUAUAGAUAUAAAACAGUUCAAGCAUAUAACAAUGUUUAAACGUUAAACCAAGAUAAGUGUGCUUUGCAGGACAUAGCUGAUCACUUGCAUUUUUUCAGUGGAUAUGUCGUUAUUUUUGCUCAUAAAGGUAAGAGUAAUACAACAUUCAUAACUGUAAAUGGUCUACUUUUAUUUGUGUACACUCACAAUAUCAACAAAAUGUUGUGCUUUUAUAAAAUAAAGAAAACAUGAUGCGCUUUCUGCCGUCUCGUCUUAAACAGGAGCGCUUCACAAAAAUGAACCAAAACUCAGCGAAUACAUGCCUCACAGACAUGAUAAAUAUAUCUAUAGAAAGCUUUAAAUGACUACUUAAUGAAAUAAAAACAAAAACAAAAACACUUUUAUUAUAAUAAUAUCCGUAAAGAUUCACUUCUCUCUAAAGGCGCGUCUUAAUGAGGAAAUGGUGAGUCAGGAUCGGCAACUUCAUCCUUGCGACACUGACUCAGAAAACACUUUUUAUUAGUAAAUAAUUCAAAUAUCUCCUUACUAUUUCCCCCAGACAUAUUUAUGGUAAUUACUUUUGCAGAUGCUUUGCGUAGUUGUGCUUUUAUAAAAUAAAGAAAACAUGAUGCGCUUUCUGCCGUCUCGUCUUAAACAGGAGCGCUUCACAAAAAUGAACCAAAACUCAGCGAAUACAUGCCUCACAGACAUGAUAAAUAUAUCUAUAGAAAGCUUUAAAUGACUACUUAAUGAAAUAAAAACAAAAACAAAAACACUUUUAUUAUAAUAAUAUCCGUAAAGAUUCACUUCUCUCUAAAGGCGCGUCUUAAUGAGGAAAUGGUGAGUCAGGAUCGGCAACUUCAUCCUUGCGACACUGACUCAGAAAACACUUUUUAUUAGUAAAUAAUUCAAAUAUCUCCUUACUAUUUCCCCCAGACAUAUUUAUGGUAAUUACUUUUGCAGAUGCUUUGCGGCAAGCUUAUUACGUGCAUUUGAAUGCAGAACUCUUCAUCUGCGCUGACGGCACACACCUUACAUGCUGCUGCUGCUGUGGGACACUAAACACCGUCGAGCUGCUCUUGACAGUCGCGGUAGCAAGGUCUUAUGUGGUUUCCACCAGCGCUGCAAUUUUUUUCAUCACUAAUUGAUAGAUGUCUAAAACAGCAAAGGUAAGGAGAAGCCUUAAACUGGACUGAGGCCCGGCCCGCGUCUGAACUAUGAAGUGAAAAUUGUUCCGAAGCCAGGUCUGAGGGGCGUAAAAAAGUCGGGCUGGAAUGUAGGGCGUUAACAGAGACACUCAGACAGAAUAGUGCUCAUACUAGGCUUCUUAACUAGCCCAUUGUGCAUUCCGAUCACAGUAUAUCGGUGGAACAUGCCAGCUAUACAAACUGUGUGAGGGAAACCUAAACUGAACCAUUCACUACAAGCAGGGCGUCGCUGAAAAUGAGUGUGUAAGUUUGUUGUAAUGCUGUUGUCACUGCUGCAAACUCCCAUAUAGGCUAUACAAAUAAUUAUUGGAAAAAUAUAAUUUUCCAGCAGCCAGUGGGCCCCUCCCAAGUGUAGGCCCCUGGGUUUCAGCCCCUUAAAGACCGUGCAUUAAUGCACCCCUGCCGACAGCCAAUUUAGUUUGUAAUUUUCUUUUUUUUUUUUCUAUUUUGUA